rnacentral:rRNA from 1 species
CCUACGGGAGGCAGCAGUGGGGAAUAUUGGACAAUGGGCGAAAGCCUGAUCCAGCCAUGCCGCGUGUGUGAAGAAGGCCUUCGGGUUGUAAAGCACUUUCAGUGGGGAAGAAAGCCUUGGGGCUAAUACCCUCGAGGAAGGACAUCACCCACAGAAGAAGCACCGGCUAACUCCGUGCCAGCAGCCGCGGUAAUACGGAGGGUGCGAGCGUUAAUCGGAAUUACUGGGCGUAAAGCGCGCGUAGGCGGUCUGAUAAGCCGGUUGUGAAAGCCCCGGGCUCAACCUGGGAACGGCAUCCGGAACUGGCAGGCUAGAGUGCAGAAGAGGAAGGUAGAAUUCCCGGUGUAGCGGUGAAAUGCGUAGAGAUCGGGAGGAAUACCAGUGGCGAAGGCGGCCUUCUGGACUGACACUGACGCUGAGGUGCGAAAGCGUGGGUAGCAAACAGGAUUAGAUACCCUAGUAGUC